rnacentral:misc_RNA from 1 species
UGGGGCAUCAAUUAUCAUUUG